UCGCUGUUGGGUCGUUUGUUGACGGCUCUCUGGCGAUUUGCGCG
rnacentral:rRNA from 1 species